rnacentral:rRNA from 1 species
AGCGUUGAAACAUCGGUUUUCAUACGAUCACCGAAGUUAAGCAACUUCGAGCCUGGUCAGUACCUGAAUGGUUGACCGCUUGGGAAUACCAGGUACUGUAAG